rnacentral:lncRNA from 1 species
GUGGCAUUCCAACAAUGACGUCAUUAUAAAAUAUAAUGUAGGUUGGAUAAAUUUAGAAUAUCUCGUCAUACUGAUUUUUCCGGAUUGUAAAAGAAACGAAAAUAGUGUAAAAGACAGCUCAAAAUACGAUAAUUUCGCUAGAAACAGAAGGGAAAUGUGUAGAAAAGUGUUUAAAGUCAAUCUAUUCAUUUGUGUGUUUCCUUCUCAU